CGGGGUGUAGCGCAGCCUGGUUUAGCGCGCUUGCUUGGGGUGCAAGAGGUCGGGAGUUCGAAUCUCCCCACCCCGACCA
rnacentral:tRNA from 1 species